AAAAAAAAGCCUGGCUUUCCCAUGUACGCCGGUAGUGAAGAAUUCUUCACCACAACUGAGAUCGUCCUAGUACGCAAAACCAUACCUCGUACCAACAAAGUCACAAACAAACAUCAUCAAACAAAUGAAAAUGAUUCUUUGCAAAAUCUAACAUGUACUUGUUAUUCUUCUUGCUCUUCUUGUCCAUGA